GUGACGUCAGGUACGGGGAGAGGGGGUAGGAGCGGGGGCGGCGGCUGCUGCCUGAGUUGGUUGCUAUAGAACACAGCAGACGCCAACACACUGACUGGCAGCAGCCGGGUCACCGUCCUGCAGAUCUUGCGCGUCUCAUGAUCACCCUCAGCCGGAGAGCCCUCGGGUGGCUCCAUUCCCUGUGGGCUUGUGUGUUGUAUUUGGAACAACAUAACCGUUUGUUUUGAGUUUAAAUAACCUACAAUAUGAACAGUUCAAACAGCCUUGAAUGGAGUAUUGUGACUGCAAAACAUUGUCCUCCUGUAUAGUAGAACGUUCCCCGUGAAAUAACCCCACAUUGGUUGUCAAAUUCAGAUCCUCUUCUGUAUUGUGGCAAUCUCCUGGGGCUAUGUCCUGUAUGCAGCAAGAGUUGCAGCACUAUGGCAUCUGCAGGAAAAAUAUCCAAAUCAGAUUAUAAACUGACAAUAUUGGCACUCUUUAUUAAAGAGAAGCAAAACUGUUUUUAUGCUAAACAUAGACUGGGAAUUUCCACUU